rnacentral:rRNA from 1 species
UACGGAGGAUCCAAGCGUUAUCCGGAAUCAUUGGGUUUAAAGGGUCCGUAAGCGGUUUGGUAAGUCAGUGGUGAAAGCCCAUCGCUCAACGGUGGAACGGCCAUUGAUACUGCCAGACUUGAAUUAUUAGGAAGUAACUAGAAUAUGUAGUGUAGCGGUGAAAUGCUUAGAGAUUACAUGGAAUACCAAUUGCGAAGGCAGGUUACUACUAAUGGAUUGACGCUGAUGGACGAAAGCGUGGGUAGCGAACAGG